rnacentral:rRNA from 1 species
AUGUCCAUGUCCAAAUCGAUUAGGUCAUCUCUACAUGGCCGCUCAGUGGUGUUGCCAUCGUUCCCUUGGCCUUACUAUGACGAGGUUGUCAAGUUCUACGUCUCCGGCACCGAGGAGCAUGAUGUCGGCGUCUCCCCUGCCGUCAACCCGAGAGUGCUCCCGGCGGCCGCCUCCUCAAACGACACGCUGCAGCGCGGCAUCGUCGCCACCAACCAGACCGCGAACAGCGUGACGUCCACGCUGCACAUCAUCUCAGACCUCGUGCGCGACCUCAACACCUGCACUGGGUACUACACGACCAUGGCCAAGACGGUGGCCGCCGCCCUCGACGACCUUCACGCCGGACGCGUCGUCAACGCGACCGAUAAGCUGAACGACGCCCUGGGCGCGCCUAGUGACUGCGACAUCUUGCUGAGCGGCGUAGGAGUGAUCGGGAAGGUCGAUCGUAAUCCCAUUCGGAAGGAGAACGGCGACAACGAGAAGCUUGUCCAGUUAGCCAUCAACAUCUUGGACCCGCCGAGAAGCUAG